GUCCUGAGCGCGAUGCCUCGCAGACUUGGCACACGCCAUCGUAGAUGGUCAGCACCUUGGCCUGGCUGUACUGGGAGCCGUCGUUGGUGACCUGAGACAGGAAAGAGAGGUUGGGAUACCUACGGUGACCUUCUUCCCCUGGUGGGACUCCAGCACCCUGACCCGACUGCCCUCCUUGUCCCCGAGGUUCUUCAGUGUCAGCUGUGGCCGGGUUUCCUGCGGCCGCCCAUUGCACAUGUCGAAGACAGCGAUGUUGUUCCCCUCUUGCACCGCAACGCCACAGUUGCAGGCGACCGUGUAGUGUCGGCUGCCGCAGUCCCACUGGCGAGAGUGGACCUCGAACUCCCUGACAAUGCUCCGGUAAAGAACAAAGAGACGUUGGGACGUAGCUUCUCCAGAGUCGUGGUGCGCUGGGUCCGGGCAAAACACCAAUCAGACUCGGCCGGUUUCCAUCUCGUGUGAAGUCAGUGACGGCGGUUAGAAGAAAGGUCGCCUGGCCGCAGCUGCCUCCGCUGCAGGCGUCAGGCUGGAGCUCCACCUGGCAGGCGGACAGCGCCACGUUUGGGGCCUCGUGUCCCAGACGGUCUGUGGAUGUCAACAAAGCAGUCUGACCUGGGUCGUGGACGCUGAGAGCCAGAUGGAGUCCACACUGUUGGCUGUUAACGGGGCCGUAGCAGGGGACAGGCACCGUGCUGUGCACGCUCACCUCAUGCUCUUUACCGUUCUCCACUACGUGGAGUGAGUCUGGAGAAAACUGAAGAGAGACAGAGGGAGCAAAGAGCCUUCACUGUCAGAAAAAGAGGUAGAAUGCAGGUCCAUCUAACCUCUGGACUCUGCUGAGUGAUAGGAAUGCGGCCUCACAGGCCGAGACACGCAGCUCUGCACUCUCUGCAGCUUUAACAGGCAAGAUGUUCUAUUGUUUCUGCAUUGUAUUUAAAGAAAUAAUGAUUGAAUUAUUUAAACGGUACCUGUGAGACUCUGUGUUGCAUUAGAUAUCUCCUUUAUUUAUUGUAUGUCCCUGAUCAUGAAGAUAAAAAGUAGUUUUGCAUUUUGUGGGUAAAAUCUUCAUUUGGAACUUCUAGGCAGUAGAAGUAGAAAGUGGCAUGAAAAGAAAAGACUCAAGUAAAGUAUAAUACUGGAGUAAAUGUACUUAGUUGCAUUCCACCACUGCUUAUAGGUGACACAAAAAGGAUUUAGGUAUUUUAACUUAACUUGCCAUAAAACGUUUGCCUUGCACCUACCGUGUUG